rnacentral:rRNA from 1 species
AACGAACGCUGGCGGCAUGCCUAACACAUGCAAGUCGAACGAGACCUCCGGGUCUAGUGUCGUACGGGUGCGUAACGCGUGGGAACCUGCCCUUAGGUUCGGAAUAACUCCCCGAAAGGGGUGCUAAUACCGGAUAAUGUCUUCGGACCAAAGAUUUAUCGCCUUUGGAUGGGCCCGCGUUGGAUUAGCUAGUUGGUAGGGUAAAAGCCUACCAAGGCGACGAUCCAUAGCUGGUCUGAGAGGAUGAUCAGCCACACUGGGACUGAGACACGGCCCAGACUCCUACGGGAUGCAGCAGUGGGGAAUAUUGGACAAUGGGCGAAAGCCUGAUCCAGCAAUGCCGCGUGAGUGAUGAAGGCCUUAGGGUUGUAAAGCUCUUUUACCCGGGAUGAUAAUGACAGUACCGGGAGAAUAAGCUCCGGCUAACUCCGUG